GACGGAAGGUGCAAGCGUUGCUCGGAAUCACUGGGCGUAAAGGGCGCGUAGGCGGCCUGUUAAGUCGAACGUGAAAUCCCCGGGCUCAACCCGGGAACUGCGUCCGAUACUGGCAGGCUUGAAUUCGGGAGAGGGAUGCGGAAUUCCAGGUGUAGCGGUGAAAUGCGUAGAUAUCUGGAGGAACACCGGUGGCGAAGGCGGCAUCCUGGACCGAGAUUGACGCUGAGGCGCGAAAGCCAGGGGAGCAAACGGG
rnacentral:rRNA from 1 species